rnacentral:rRNA from 1 species
UACAGGGGGGGCAAGCGUUGUUCGGAAUUACUGGGCGUAAAGGGCUCGUAGGUGGCCAACUAAGUCAGACGUGAAAUCCCUCAGCUUAACCUGGGAACUGCAUCCGAUACUGGAUGGCUUGAAUCCGGGAGAGGGAUGCAGAAUUCCAGGUGUAGCGGUGAAAUGCGUAGAUAUCUGGAGGAAUACCGGUGGCGAAGGCGGCAUCCUGGACCGGCAUUGACGCUGAUGAGCGAAAGCUAGGGGAGCAAACGGG